CCCUACGGGACGCAGCAGUGGGGAAUAUUGGGCAAUGGGCGCAAGCCUGACCCAGCAACGCCGCGUGAAGGAAGAAGGCUUUCGGGUUGUAAACUUCUUUUAAGAGGGAAGAGAAGAAGACGGUACCUCUCGAAUAAGCCACGGCUAACUACGUGCCAGCAGCCGCGGUAAUACGUAGGUGGCAAGCGUUGUCCGGAUUUACUGGGUGUAAAGGGAGCGUAGGCGGCAGGGCAAGCCUGAUGUGAAAGCCCGCGGCCCAACCGCGGGACUGCAUUGGGAACUACCGGGCUGGAGUGCCGGAGAGG
rnacentral:rRNA from 1 species